ACUUGGCGGUGAACUUGAGCCAGCAGCGGUUAACCCGGCCCGGGGUUCUGGGCCUCAGCCGGCGCCAGCAGCUCCCUCAGGUGGGGCGCAAGCCUCAGCGCGCCGCCCUUCUCCGCUCCUCUCCUCCAACCGGCCCUUACCUAGGGCGACGGCCCCGGGGACCCCCUUCCCAAGGGCGUCGGCCUGGAGCCUGGAGUCUGUAGGAGUGGCGGGAGAUGGGGACGCGAGUCCCUGGACGCCGACAGUCUGUCUCUAAGGCGUUGCUGCGUGGCUUUGGUACACAGAGCCUCGACCGCUUCUCCACCGCUGCAAGCACAGCGGGGAAGUGGAUGGAGAAGCAAAGACAGACAGACAGACAGACAGACAGACAAGCGGCGGCGGGGCUACCCUGAAACCCGAGCGUCUCCAAGCCCCCACCCCCAACCCCCGGGCACGGCGCUGCAGAUGCCAGAUCCCCGACCAGAGGCGGUGGAGAUGGGCAGGGCAAAGAACGCGCGCGCCGCUCGCAGCUCGUCCGCGCGUGGCCUUCCUCUUGCCCCCCUGCACCUUCAAUUUACCUUAUGCAGGGCGCCCCGCGAGCUGCGGGCUGAGGCGCCGAGCCGAAGCCCAGAGGACAGGAGUUUGAGAGCCGCCAUCUUCGGCCCCGGGUGCGGGAGACGGUGGCGCGCGCGGGAGUGCGUGCGAGUGCUGGUUGCCCGGGGCCGCGGCGGCGUCACCGGCUAAGAAGAGAGAAGGCAAGGCGAGCGGUAGGGCGGGCUGGAGGCUCGACCGCGCGUCAGUGACGUCCUCGGGACCUCAGAGCGGUGCCGCCCCUUGCUGCCUGCUGGCUUGUCAAGAAGCGAGACAGGGAGGGGCUCACGGCUAGGAAUGGAAAGGCUGCACAGCUAGGACGAGCCCCGCGGGUUGUGCCGGGGCCGGAGGUGCUGGGCUCCAGCUCAUCUGCGGGCACACCCGCAGCGGCGGGCGCUGCACUCAGGCUGGAGGGGGCGCUAGAGCCUGCCUUCCCCUCGCGCAAGGCUUGGCAUCAACCAGGGUUUCGGGUUGCCAAGGGCCUGGAGGGUCUCUUACUGAACGUGUUACUUUUCCAAAUCGCCCUCUGGAAUGAGUACAGGUACAAAGGGUCACUGAUAAAGAUCUCCUUCCAGAUCUAGACAGCUCACCUUUCCAACAUUUCUCAACCCCAACACCCACAACUCUCUUCAAGUCUGGUUUUGCCCUUAGUUUCCUCUGAAACCCAGCAGCGUGCUGACUGACCCUCAUGAGACAUGACCUGCUUAACCGACAGAGGGACAAGAUUAGAACUGGGCUGUUGUUCCCCAUCAUCCUACUCUGUGUUCCAGAAUUUUCCUGGAACCGGAGUCCCAACAAUUCCAGAAAUUACAGAACAGGUAUAAGCACAGAAGUGUCUGUCUCCUCUCCUCCUCGUCCUUGUCCAUGUUGUAUAAUUCCCCUCACCUUGUAAUGCUCUUCCUGUUGCAGUUUUGUAUGAGAAAAGCCAGUCAAGGGACACAAUGAACACAAAAAUGCUCGGCACUAAAUUUAGCUAAUAUUCGGUGGUGGGUUAACUUCAUCGUUUUGGAGGUUUUCGUUUUGGAGUUUGUUUUUUGCUGUUUUGUUUGAGGAAGGAUCUCUAGCUCUCUUAGGUCCCACUGAAACUCUAUAUAUGGCUCAGGCUGACCUCCAACUUUUUUCUAUUGCGGCAGCCUAUCCCAGAGUAUGUGCAAUUGUGCCUGGCUCAAGCCUUAUCUUUUGACUGGCACCCAACCGGCCUGAACCAUUUCUUCAGGACGUUCUACACUCACCGCCGAGUUUAAAAGACCACUUGGAAGCCCGGGAAAUCCUUUUAUUGGAUUAAAAGCCCAUCGAGUCCUGGAAGAACAGUUUAAAUUUGAAGUGAUGCAAAACCCAUGACAACAGUAAAUGACUCUUUAACUUCCUUAAAAAGUAUGCCGAUACAAUGAAGGAUGAACAGUCCUGUUUAAUUAAAACCUGUCUACUGGCCUGGGGAGAUGGUAAAGACACUUGCCUCCAAGCUUAGUGACCUCAGUUUGAUCCCUGGGACCCACAUGGUAGCAGGGAAGAACCAACUCCAGCCAAGUCCUCCUCCGACCUCACAUGCACUGCAGCGAGUGCAUGCCUGUGUAUGUGCGCCAAAACAAAUGAAUAAGGAAUUUAAAAAUCUGCACAGAAAAGCAACUACCUCAGUACUCCCUUAACUCAAAAAUGUCUCCUGUAAAGAUUACGGUUUUAACAUGGAAAUAAAAUAUCAAGUUAAACUAUCAUCUGAUUGCAUAGGAGAAGUGAACUCAGUAAUCCUGGAUAUUUUGGGGGCGCAUUUUAAUAAGCUGUGAAGAGUUCGAAUGUUUAAACCGAAGUCCCAUGACUAGCCCUAACAUGGCGGCUGUUGUGCUGCAGUUUUGAGAAGGAACAACAAAAGCUGGUACUACAGUUGUUCUUCCACUUUUUUCCUUCCAGGGCCACGUGAAAGG
rnacentral:lncRNA from 1 species